GCGACACUAGCUCAGUUGGUAGAGCGCCACCUUGCCAAGGUUGAGGUCACGCGUUCGAACCUCGUGUGUCGCUCCA
rnacentral:tRNA from 1 species